rnacentral:sRNA from 1 species
CUGUAAUGCUGUUAGAAUCACCUUUCCUGUAUGUUCUCAGAAAUAAGUGCCGCUUUUGCAAAGUGUUAAGAUAAUUUAAUGUCUGGCUUUUCUGUUUCAUCAUCUCAUGGCAUGAGGAAUGCUGACUGCUCUAAACGUUGAACUUCUAGAAGCUUGAACCCAUUGACUUGCCACGAGUAAUUACUUCAGGAAGACUCCUGAGCCAGCGAGAAGCCAGGACAAUGCACAAAGCAAAGGUACUAGAAAAGAAAAUGCAAACUCCAAUGUAUACUUCUGAGAACAGACAAUAUUUGCAUAAGAUGCAAAUGCUGGAAAUGAUCCGUAAAAGACAAGAGGCCCAAAUGGAGUUAAAGAAAAGUCUUCAUGG